GCCUCUGUAGUUCAAUGGAUAGAACUACGGUUUCCUAAACCGUCAAUCCGGGUUCGAUUCCCGGCGGAGGUA
rnacentral:tRNA from 2 species